GCAUCCUAAGGACACACAGGUACACAGAUGGAAUGAAGUGUGAGCAUCCUAAGGACACACAGGUACAUGGAUGAAAUGAAGUGUGAGCAUCCUAAGGACACACAGGUACAUGGAUGAAAUGAAGUGUGAGCAUCCUAAGGACACACAGGUACACGGAUGGAAUGAAGUGUGAGCAUCCUAAGGACACACAGGUACACGGAUGGAAUGAAGUGUGAGCAUCCUAAGGACACACAGGUACACGGAUGGAAUGAAGUGUGAGCAUCCUAAGGACACACAGGUACAUGGAUGAAAUGAAGUGUGAGCAUCCUAAGGACACACAGGUACAUGGAUGAAAUGAAGUGUGAGCAUCCUAAGGACACACAGGUACAUGGAUGGAAUGAAGUGUGAGCAUCCUAAGGACA